GGCGANACGAUGCGAACAGUACCGUGAGGGAAAGAUGAAAAGAACUUUGAAAAGAGAGUAAAAUAGUGCGUGAAAUUGUUGAAAGGGAAACGAUUGAAGUCAGUCGUACCGACGGACAAUCAGCCUUUUGAGUGCGAUUCUGUGGGGCAUGAGGAGGAAACCCUCAUGUUUUGCAUAUUUGUGCUCUUUGGGUGUAUUUGUUCGUAUGGUGGGUUAACAUCAAUUUUGGUCGUCAUAAAA
rnacentral:rRNA from 1 species